GUUAGCUUGAGGGAAAGGCCUUUGUUUGGUCUUCAUUCAUUUUUGAUUCCCUCGUUAGUGCCACUCUGGUCAGGUCAUCUGCUCACCCUGGCAGGCAAUCAACGACUUGGCACAGCAGUGGAAGUCUGAACCCCAGGACUAGACACCGAGAGAGAGCCCAGAGAAAGAGCAGCAUGUCCAUUUUAUAUUCAUGUUCAUUAUUAAAUAAGCCAUAAUAGUGGCAAAGAAAGAAAAAAGGCAGAAAACAAGCAUUUAUCAUUGUGAGGAACCUCAAGACAGGGGAAGUUGCAAUUCCCCCAAUACCACACAGGUAGUAACCAUCAGCAUUGAGACUAGAACCCAGGUCCUUUGAAAGUCAGCCAUCUUUCCAUUGUCGAGAACCUUUGUACCUUACUACCUGUCCUGAGCCUGCUGCAGAUGGAUGCUAAGAGUCAAACUGGUCCAGAGAGCCCCCGAAUAGUCACUUCACAAGAUGGAUAAUCAUGGGAGAUUGAGGGCAAAUUUAACUUCAUUCAUUCAUUGGUGCAUUCAUUCAGUACACUAGCAUUCUCCCCUAUUCUGUGCAAAGCCCAGGUGAA
rnacentral:lncRNA from 1 species